AAGUCGUAACAAGGUCUCCGUUGGUGAACCAGCGGAGGGAUCAUUACCGAGUUUUACAACUCCCAAACCCUAUGUGAACAUACCACUGUUGCUUCGGCGGAAACGUACCGGCGGCACACCCCCAAGCGGGGCGUCUCCCCGGAUCCAGGCGUCCGUCGAAGGUCCCCAAAACAAACUCUUGUUUCUUACCAUUGUGGUUCUUCUGAGUGGCAUAAGCAAAUAAAUCAAAACUUUCAACAACGGAUCUCUUGGUUCUG
rnacentral:misc_RNA from 1 species